GUUACCUGGUUGAUUCUGCCAGUAGU
rnacentral:rRNA from 1 species